rnacentral:rRNA from 1 species
AAUUUUGGACAAUGGGCGAAAGCCUGAUGGAGCAACGCCGCGUGAGUGAAGAAGGUUUUCGGAUCGUAAAACUCUGUUGUAAGGGAAGAACAAGUACAGUAGUAACUGGCUGUACCUUGACGGUACCUUAUUAGAAAGCCACGGCUAACUACGUGCCAGCAGCCGCGGUUAUACGUAUGUGGCAAGCGUUGUCCGGAAUUAUUGGGCGUAAAGGCCGCGGAGGCGGUCCUUUAAGUCUGAUGUGAAAGCCCACGGCUCAACCGUGGAGGGUCAUUGGAAACUGGGGGACUUGAGUGCAGAAGAGGAAAGUGGAAUUCCAAGUGUAGCGGUGAAAUGCGUAGAGAUUUGGAGGAACACCAGUGGCGAAGGCGACUUUCUGGACGGCAACUGACGCUGAGGCACGAAAGCGUGGGGAGCGAACAG